AGGAAGAAAAGAUGUGAACCUGCAGCUGUGCUGGCUAUCUGUCAUCACGAGCGUUUUCGUCUGUUUGUCUAAAGAUGGGCCUAAGAAGUUGCCGUACGUGGAGUGUGUCUGCAUCCUCUGAAACCUUUGUGGAGUGCGUUCUCCAUGUCGAGCCGAAAGACACAAUCAAGCUGAAGAGCAGAGGGGGAAGGAUGCACCCCGCAGCAAGUAUGGAGGACACUGGGGCGCAUCCCGGAGCAGCGUCUCCCUGGCCCGCAGGACUCGGGAGGCAUGAGGCUAAGGACUUUCAGAAACAUGAAUUGGAUGUUCUGGGAAUGGUCUGAAGAGAAGGGACUGGAGAGGAGACUAGAGAAACACGGGAGGACUUUUGGUGGCGCUUCACCCGAGAACUGAAGGCGUCCCUGCACACACCACCCGUGACAGCGUGGGACCCCCCCAGGACUGCGGUCCCGGGGUCUCUCCUCUCCAGCUCCUCUGCCUGUAGCCCCAGCGAUUUCUCAAAACCACCCUUGUGCUGUUCCAGUUCUGGCCGAAGUGCUUCUGCUCCAGGUAGGGGCAUCUCGC